AGCAGCCGCGGUAAUUCCAGCUCCAAUAGCGUAUAUUAAAGUUGUUGCAGUUAAAAAGCUCGUAGUUGAAUUUUAGGCCUGGCCGGGCGGUCCGUCUUUGGCGAGUACUGUUCUGUGUCGGGUCUUACCUUCUGGUGAAACCGGCAUUUUCUGAAGCGAGUGUGCCGGGGAGCCAGGACCAUUACCUUGAAAAAAUUAGAGUGUUUAAAGCAGGCAUUUUGCUUGAAUAGAUUAGCAUGGAAUAAUAAAAUAGGACGUUGGUUCUAUUUUGUUGGUCUAGGACCACCGUAAUGAUUAAUAGGGAUAGUUGGGGGCAUUAGUAUUCAAUUGUCAGAGGUGAAAUUCUUGGAUUUAUUGAAGACUUAACUAUUGCGAAAGCAUUUGCCAAGGAUGUUUUCAUUAAUCAAGAACGAAAGUUAGGGGAUCGAAGACGAUCAGAUACCGUCGUAGUCUUAACCAUAAACUAUGCCGACUAGGAAUCGGGCGACGUUAUUUUCAUUGACUCGCUCGGCGCCUUAUG
rnacentral:rRNA from 1 species